rnacentral:lncRNA from 1 species
AGGGGGAGACUAGGGAGAAGACAGGAGACCUUACCUUGCUCCAAAGAGGCAUUGCGACCACAAAUCUGGCAGCACAAGAGAGGGCACGAUGAGCUUAAGAAGAGGAAGGAAGAAAGGAAGGAGUCAGGGAGGUGAGUCAUGAGGGAUCAAUCGAGGGAGUGGGGUUUAUAUAGAAGCCGCGCGAGAGAGGAUGAGCUUGGUUGACUAGCUGCAACGGCUGGUCAUUCACUGAUUGCAACAACCUCUAACAACCACU